rnacentral:rRNA from 1 species
UUAGGCUUUGAUCCUGGCUCAGGACGAACGCUGGCGGCGUGCCUAAUACAUGCAAGUCGAACGCUUCUUUUUCCACCGGAGCUUGCUCCACCGGAAAAAGAGGAGUGGCGAACGGGUGAGUAACACGUGGGUAACCUGCCCAUCAGAAGGGGAUAACACUUGGAAACAGGUGCUAAUACCGUAUAACAAUCGAAACCGCAUGGUUUUGAUUUGAAAGGCGCUUUCGGGUGUCGCUGAUGGAUGGACCCGCGGUGCAUUAGCUAGUUGGUGAGGUAACGGCUCACCAAGGCGACGAUGCAUAGCCGACCUGAGAGGGUGAUCGGCCACAUUGGGACUGAGACACGGCCCAAACUCCUACGGGAGGCAGCAGUAGGGAAUCUUCGGCAAUGGACGAAAGUCUGACCGAGCAACGCCGCGUGAGUGAAGAAGGUUUUCGGAUCGUAAAACUCUGUUGUUAGAGAAGAACAAGGAUGAGAGUAACUGUUCAUCCCUUGACGGUAUCUAACCAGAAAGCCACGGCUAACUACGUGCCAGCAGCCGCGGUAAUACGUAGGUGGCAAGCGUUGUCCGGAUUUAUUGGGCGUAAAGCGAGCGCAGGCGGUUUCUUAAGUCUGAUGUGAAAGCCCCCGGCUCAACCGGGGAGGGUCAUUGGAAACUGGGAGACUUGAGUGCAGAAGAGGAGAGUGGAAUUCCAUGUGUAGCGGUGAAAUGCGUAGAUAUAUGGAGGAACACCAGUGGCGAAGGCGGCUCUCUGGUCUGUAACUGACGCUGAGGCUCGAAAGCGUGGGGAGCAAACAGGAUUAGAUACCCUGGUAGUCCACGCCGUAAACGAUGAGUGCUAAGUGUUGGAGGGUUUCCGCCCUUCAGUGCUGCAGCUAACGCAUUAAGCACUCCGCCUGGGGAGUACGACCGCAAGGUUGAAACUCAAAGGAAUUGACGGGGGCCCGCACAAGCGGUGGAGCAUGUGGUUUAAUUCGAAGCAACGCGAAGAACCUUACCAGGUCUUGACAUCCUUUGACCACUCUAGAGAUAGAGCUUCCCCUUCGGGGGCAAAGUGACAGGUGGUGCAUGGUUGUCGUCAGCUCGUGUCGUGAGAUGUUGGGUUAAGUCCCGCAACGAGCGCAACCCUUAUUGUUAGUUGCCAUCAUUUAGUUGGGCACUCUAGCAAGACUGCCGGUGACAAACCGGAGGAAGGUGGGGAUGACGUCAAAUCAUCAUGCCCCUUAUGACCUGGGCUACACACGUGCUACAAUGGGAAGUACAACGAGUCGCAAAGUCGCGAGGCUAAGCUAAUCUCUUAAAGCUUCUCUCAGUUCGGAUUGUAGGCUGCAACUCGCCUACAUGAAGCCGGAAUCGCUAGUAAUCGCGGAUCAGCACGCCGCGGUGAAUACGUUCCCGGGCCUUGUACACACCGCCCGUCACACCACGAGAGUUUGUAACACCCGAAGUCGGUGAGGUAACCUUUUGGAGCCAGCCGCCU